UACGUAGGGUGCAGGCGUUUAAUCGGAAUUACUGGGCGUAAAGCGUGCGCAGGCGGCUUUGCAAGACAGAUGUGAAAUCCCCGGGCUCAACCUGGGAACUGCAUUUGUGACUGCAAGGCUAGAGUACGGUAGAGGGGGAUGGAAUUCCGCGUGUAGCAGUGAAAUGCGUAGAUAUGCGGAGGAACACCGAUGGCGAAGGCAAUCCCCUGGACCUGUACUGACGCUCAUGCACGAAAGGCGUGGGGAGCAAACAGG
rnacentral:rRNA from 1 species